rnacentral:tRNA from 1 species
AAGAAAUUAGUUUAAAAAAAACAUUAAUUUGUCAAAUUAAAAAUAUUAAUCUUAAUAUUUCUUG